GGAGAGGGCUAGCGUUAUUCGGAAUUAUUGGGCGUAAAGGGCGCGUAGGCGGAUUAGUAAGUUAAAAGUGAAAUCCCAAGGCUCAACCUUGGAAUUGCUUUUAAGACUGCUAAUCUAGAGAUUGAAAGAGGAUAGAGGAAUUCCUAGUGUAGAGGUGAAAUUCGUAAAUAUUAGGAGGAACACCAGUGGCGAAGGCGUCUAUCUGGUUCAAAUCUGACGCUGAGGCGCGAAGGCGUGGGGAGCAAACAGGAUUAGAUACCCUGGUAGUCCACGCUGUAAACGAUGAAUGUUAAAUAUGGGGAGUUUACUUUCUGUAUUACAGCUAACGCGUUAAACAUUCCGCCUGGGGACUACGGUCGCAAGAUUAAAACUCAAAGGAAUUGACGGGGACCCGCACAAGCGGUGGAGCAUGUGGUUUAAUUCGAUGCAACGCGAAAAACCUUACCACUCCUUGACAUGGAAAUUAUACCUAUUCGAAGGGAUAGGGUCGGUUCGGCCGGGUUUCACACAGGUGU
rnacentral:rRNA from 1 species